rnacentral:rRNA from 1 species
AUGGCCGGCGGCGGCGCGUCGCCGGCGCGGGAGGGCGGCCGGGAGGAGUGGCUGCGCAUCUACGACCGGAUGGUGGCCGUCCUGCGGAAGAGCCACCGGGACGUGGAGGCGCUGCUCGCCGACCGCACGCGCCUCGAGGCCGUCCUCAAGAUCCAGCACGACUUCUGGCUCCACCGCGAUGCCGUCCUCAGGGACCGCCUCGACGAGACGCGGAGGGUGGAGGACUGCCUGCGGCGGGGCGACGCCGCCAAGCUCGACCUGCUCCUCGGAGACAAGGACCUCGAGGUGCGCCGCCACCGGAUCUACAUCGAACACCAAGAUGGUGACCUGGAGGAUUUCAAAAGGGAUGCGGCUGCUUUGGCUCAAGAAAACAAUGAACUGAAGAUAAAACUGAAGGAAGCUGAAAGUUGUGCCGAGCUCAGCGAGCCGACUACAGACCCCGAGCACAGCGGAAGAGAUUUGAGAGCAGAGAUACGGAAGCUAAAGAAAGCCUAUAAGGCCCUGAGCUCGCAAAAGGAGAGUGAGGUUUCCGCGUUACUUGCAGAAAAGGAUUUUGUGUGGAACCAGUACAAGACAAUGGAGAAGGAUUACGAGACGCUCCUUAAGAAGAAGAAGAUGGAGGCAGCACAGGCUACUGAAGCAGCAGAGAAGCUUCAGCAGAAGGUGGAGGAGCUGCAACUGCAAGUGGUGGCCCAAAAGAAGGAUGACGAUGUUGGCAGAUUGCAAGCAGAAGCUAAUGAUGCCAAAAAGAAGGUACUGGCUCUUGAGGAUAAGCUACAAAAAAUGCACUCCCUGGUCAGUGAGAAAGAUGAUGAAAUCCAAAAACUCAAGAGUGGGCACCUUCAGUCUAGUCAAAAGCGGAAGAAGGAUAUCAGUGGGACACAUAGAAGAUCUAGGUCUGAAGGUCCAUCUGUACGGGGCAAGUCUAAAGGUAAUCCUCGGAGGCAAAUGGCAGAAGAAGAUCAACCUGAGACCAGUCAGAAGCGUCAGUGUGCCUCUUCGUUGUCAAGUGGACUGGCGCUCCGGCGUUGCUCCUCGAGGAUGACGCACCUGAGACCCGCGUCGUCGUCAUCACCUGCGCCUCAGCAGGUACUCUUCCACUCCAGUUUCAAGCUGCUGUUAGACCUCCAUGAUGGCUGUGUUUAG